rnacentral:rRNA from 1 species
CUAAAAACCGACUCACAUAUCGUGUGGUAAUGGUAGAAGCGGAUAGUACUAACACUACUUGGUCUUACUCUGCUGAAAUGAAUAGGCCAGAAAAGUGGACCAUGGUAAUAGAUUCCAGGAGUGUUUUAAAAUGCUAUACUAGUCUUAUCCAAGUCAUAUUCUGAGCCACUGGACCCCCCACUUAGUCCAAACAACAGUGGUUGACCUCGGAUCAGGUAGGGAUACCCGCUGAACUUAAGCAUAUCAAUAAGCGGAGGAAAAGAAACCAACAGGGAUUGCCUUAGUAACGGCGAGUGAAGCGGCAAAAGCUCAAAUUUGAAAUCUGGUGCCUCUGGUGCCCGAGUUGUACUUUGGAGAGGCAU